UUUUUUAAUGGCAUUAAAUGAUGUGGGUACAUGUGCAAAAAAAUAAGAAAAAAGAAAGAUAUACAUACAAAACAAAUAUUUUAUGAGAGUAUAUAUACAAAUAUCAAUUUUAAAAGGAUAUUCACGUAAAUUUGAAUGUUUAGGAGGGUAUACAUGCAAAAAAUCCUAAUAUGUUUUCUAAGAUAUGCCAGGGAUUUUUUUUAAAAAGCAUGUGCUUUUUGACUUCCACGAUCUUUCAAUUUGUGGAUAAUUUGGAGUUUGGGCACUCUUCAUUUUUGGCACGUUGACUCAAUCUUUCAAAGGUAAGACAACAUUGAAAUCAAUCUUUGUGAAUGUAGUAGGAAUACAGAAUCCUGCUUGCAUGACUAGGUUAGCCCUCCAGAAUUUAUAAAAUAAGCUUUGCAACCCAAUGCUCUUUUGUUCCACUGAAGGAAUAAUUUCCUCUCUCUCUCUCUCUCUCUCUCUCUC
rnacentral:lncRNA from 1 species